rnacentral:tRNA from 2 species
GGUGAUUGUAGUUCAGUUGGUUAGAACGCCUGGUUGUGGUCCAGGAGGUCGCCGGUUCGAGUCCGGUCUUUCACCC